CAGUUCUUGGCAAUGGAAUCCCUCCAGGAUUCAAAUUUGGGCUUUGUCUUGAUUUGCUUUACUCAGUUGUGUUUUGAAUUGAAUAAAUUAUUUAAAAGUUAAAUUUUGUAUUAGUUCUAACGUGAGUGGAGUUGAAUUUUAUGUAGCACAGUGCUUUUGCAGUAUGAUUGGUGUGAAAUACUGAAUAUCUUGUGGAUUUUGUAGUCAGGUUAAAUGACUGAGGAGUACCUACCCUAAGUAUUAUGUACUGGUCAUCUAACUUCUUUUCUGUUCCCAUCUACAGAACACCUACCCAGGUUGUGGUUUUAGAGCAGCCAAAGCUCACUAAUGUUGAUUAGUUCUAAUCUCCACACUGGCCUCAUAUGUGAAACUUGCUUAAAUUUUGGUAAAUUUU
rnacentral:lncRNA from 1 species